GUUUAUUUGAUAAGUUAAAGUUUAUUUAAAAACUUAACUUAGUUAGUUGGAUUUAAUUUCCAUGAUAUAAAAUAAUAAAGGGGUGAAGUUUAAAACUAAAUAAGUAAAGGAAACUUGAGGGACUAAAGUUGUAACAUGUCAAAAAUUAAAGUUAAUUAAAAAUUAAAAAGGAUUAAAAACCCACACACACUCUCUGUGCGUGGGUUCUGGACGAUCGAAGGGAAGACAAGGGUUGAAACCCUAGCAUCAAGAAAUCCAGCAAUUUAGCUUGAACCAAAGGAAAAAUUCGAUGCAUGAUGCCCUAAACUCGAGUAGCUAACCUCAGUUUCCGAAGUGGCACAAAGAAGGAAGAAGGCGCAAGUCACUCGAAGGCAUAAGUAUUUCAAGAUCGCUGUAAAACUCCACUCUAGGCGAUUUGGAGAUUUGGAGCGAGCACGGGCCCAUGCUAUGUUAUACCAAAUGCUUCCGCUAGUUUUUUUU